UACGGAGGAUGCAAGCGUUAUCCGGAAUGAUUGGGCGUAAAGGGUCCGCAGGUGGCUAUGUAAGUCUGCUGUUAAAUAGUCAUGCUCAACAUGAUCAAGGCAGUGGAAACUACAAGGCUAGAGUGCGUUCGGGGCAGAGGGAAUUCCUGGUGUAGCGGUGAAAUGCGUAGAUAUCAGGAAGAACACCGGUGGCGAAAGCGCUCUGCUAGGCCGCAACUGACACUGAGGGACGAAAGCUAGGGGAGCGAAUGGG
rnacentral:rRNA from 1 species